rnacentral:rRNA from 1 species
AACGAACGCUGGCGGCAGGCUUAACACAUGCAAGUCGAGCGCCCCGCAAGGGGAGCGGCGGACGGGUGAGUAACGCGUGGGAACCUACCUAGAGGUGCGGAAUAACUCAGGGAAACUUGAGCUAAUACCGCAUGAGCCCGAGAGGGGAAAGAUUUAUCGCCUUUGGAUGGGCCCGCGUCAGAUUAGCUAGUUGGUGAGGUAACGGCUCACCAAGGCGACGAUCUGUAGCUGGUCUGAGAGGAUGAUCAGCCACAUUGGGACUGAGACACGGCCCAAACUCCUACGGGAGGCAGCAGUGGGGAAUAUUGGACAAUGGGCGCAAGCCUGAUCCAGCCAUGCCGCGUGAGUGAUGACGGCCUUAGGGUUGUAAAGCUCUUUCGACGGGGACGAUAAUGACGGUACCCGUAGAAGAAGCCCCGGCUAACUUCGUGCCAGCAGCCGCAGUAAAAC